GUUGUUUCAGAAGCUUAAUAACUGUGUUGUAGAAUAAGUGCUGCAUUAACCCUGAACUGAGUCGUGGGUUAAAGCUUAAUAUUAUGAGCAGUAACUUCACUGACGUCUCUCUUCAGGUUAGUUUGAUUAUUCAGUGAUUUAUUUGGAUUUAGUGUUUGUUGUGUUUUACUUUGAAAGAGUUUUAACCCUUUUUAGUUUGACCUCUGACCUUUUCUUUCUUUGGCAGCAGCUUCCUUCAGACGUCCUCACAGCUUGUUGGGAACUUUAUUUUCUUUAUUGCUUCUUAUCUUGCUGAAAGCUGAUUGAACGAAGUGGGCGUCCCCUCUGCUGAAAGUGAGCAAUGCAGACUGAGCGCGCUCACACAGCUUCUGUAGACUAACAGAUGUCAGGAGGCGUGGCUAAAAUCAUCAGCUGUUGGAGCCACCUGGGCCCGGUGUUCUCCACUAUAAGAGCGUGUCGGUUGUUCUGCAAUGGGGGCUAGAGAGGAGGGAAACCCUGUUCCCUAUGCUCCACGCUCCUUGUUAUUUUCUUUCUUUUGUCAUACAACAAUUCACACACUGUUCUUGCAAGCAUGCAUACCUGCUGACAUGACUGAUCUACUGAUUAUCAAACCUCAUAUGAUUUUUGGAAUGUUAAGUUGUUUUUGUCUAGUUUGAAAUAAAUGGUACCUUUUCUGCA